rnacentral:sRNA from 1 species
GGCACAGUGGAAGUUACAAUUAAUUGAUUACAUUCACUUACAGAUUACUUUGCUCAUGCUCUUCUUCCACUGCUUCACAUGACAAGUCUUGA